rnacentral:rRNA from 1 species
AAUUCUCAACAACAGAUAUCUUCACUCUUACAAUGAUGAAGAAUGUAGCAAAAUACAAUAUAUAGUGUGAAUUAUAAAAUUUCAUGAAUCAUCAAGUUUUUGAAUGCAAAUUGUGCUUAAGGAUUAUCCAAGGGAAUUCUUGCUAAAGCGUCA